CAAUAGCGUAUAUUAAAGUUGUUGCAGUUAAAAAGCUCGUAGUUGGAUUUCGGUGCAGUGUGUAACCCGGUCUGCCGAGACGGUGUGUACUGGUUCACCUGUGCUUCCUGACGGUUUUUGCUUCGCGCUGCUCUUCACUGAGUGGCGUGUGAGCUCCGUCUCGUUUACUUUGAAAAAAUUAGAGUGUUUAAAGCAGGCCGUUCGCGCCUUGAAUAUUGCAGCAUGGGAUAAUGGAAUAGGACUUUGCUCCUAUUUUGUUGGUUUCUAGGAGUCAGAGUAAUGAUUAAUAGAGAUAGUUGGGGGUAUUCAUAUUUAGUUGUCAGAGGUGAAAUUCUUGGAUUUACGAAAGAUGAACUUCUGCGAAAGCAUUUAGCAAGGAUGUUUUCAUUAA
rnacentral:rRNA from 1 species